rnacentral:rRNA from 1 species
CCUACGGGAGGCAGCAGUGGGGAAUAUUGGGCAAUGGAGGAAACUCUGACCCAGCGACGCCGCGUGCGGGAUGAAGGCCUUCGGGUUGUAAACCGCUUUCAGUAGGGAAGAAGCGAAAGUGACGGUACCUACAGAAGAAGCACCGGCUAACUAUGUGCCAGCAGCCGCGGUAAUACAUAGGGUGCAAGCGUUGUCCGGAAUUAUUGGGCGUAAAGAGCUCGUAGGUGGUUCGUCACGUCGGAUGUGAAAAUCUGGGGCUCAACCCCAGACCUGCAUUCGAUACGGGCGAUCUAGAGUGUGGUAGGGGAGACUGGAAUUCCUGGUGUAGCGGUGGAAUGCGCAGAUAUCAGGAGGAACACCAAUGGCGAAGGCAGGUCUCUGGGCCAUUACUGACACUGAGGAGCGAAAGCGUGGGGAGCGAACAGGAUUAGAUACCCUGGUAGUCCACGCCGUAAACGGUGGGCACUAGUUGUGGGAACCUUCCACGGUUUCUGCGACGCNGCUACGCAUAGUAGCCCGCCGUCGGGAGGUACGAGUCGCGAGAAGUUAAACGUAACGUAAAGGUAAAGUUAGUUACGGCGUGAGACGUAGCGACGGACGACGACGAGGGAGGAGG